GCCUGGCUAGCUCAAUUGGUAGAGCGUGAGACCCUUAAUCUCAAGGCUGUGGGUUCGAUCCCCACGUUGGGCG